GCAUCCAAAAUAGCUCCGCUGGUAGAGCAUGAGACUCUUAAUCUCAGAGUCAUAGGUUUGAGCCCCGUGUUGGGCA